rnacentral:rRNA from 1 species
AUUAAGGUCCUCUGGAUUGUAAACUUCUUUUAUAUGGGACGAAAAAAGGUCUUUCUAGACCCCUUGACGGUACCAUAUGAAUAAGCACCGGCUAACUCCGUGCCAGCAGCCGCGGUAAUACGGAGGGUGCAAGCGUUAUCCGGAUUCACUGGGUUUAAAGGGUGCGUAGGCGGGUAGGUAAGUCAGUGGUGAAAUCCUGGAGCUCAACUCCAGAACUGCCAUUGAUACUAUCUAUCUUGAAUAUUGUGGAGGUAAGCGGAAUAUGUCAUGUAGCGGUGAAAUGCUUAGAUAUGACAUAGAACACCCAUUGCGAAGGCAGCUUACUACGCAUAUAUUGACGC